CCGCCGGCCCGAGAUACCGCCGAGUACCGCGCGGCCCUGGAGCUGGAGAUGUGGAAGGAGACUCAAGAGGAUCUGUUCAACGAUCAGCUUCGGAGGAAGGAGUUCAGCCACAUGCAGGCUCUGGCGGAGGAGUGGAUGCGGCGGGAGAGCGAGAGAGAAGCCUGGGUGAA